ACGAACGCUGGCGGCGUGCUUAACCCCUGCAAGUCGAACGGUGAAGCUCCAGCUUGCUGGAGUGGAUCAGUGGCGAACGGGUGAGUAACACGUGAGCAACCUGCCCCUGACUCUGGAAUAAGCGCUGGAAACGGCGUCUAAUACUGGAUAUGAGAAGGGUCCGCAUGGACACUUUCUGGAAAGUUUUUCGGUUGGGGAUGGGCUCGCGGCCUAUCAGCUUGUUGGUGAGGUAAUGGCUCACCAAGGCGACGACGGGUAGCCGGCCUGAGAGGGCGACCGGCCACACUGGGACUGAGACACGGCCCAGACUCCUACGGGAGGCAGCAGUGGGGAAUAUUGCACAAUGGGCGAAAGCCUGAUGCAGCGACGCCGCGUGAGGGAUGACGGCCUUCGGGUUGUAAACCUCUUUCAGCAGGGAAGAAGCGAAAGUGACGGUACCUGCAGAAGAAGCACCGGCUAACUACGUG
rnacentral:rRNA from 1 species